rnacentral:rRNA from 1 species
AGAGUUUGAUCCUGGCUCAGGAUGAACGUUGGCGGUGUGCCUAAUACAUGCAAGUCGAACGGAGUUAAUAGCAAUAUUGACUUAGUGGCGAACGGGUGAGUAACGCGUUGGUGAUCUGCCUCGAAGUGUGGAAUAACGUUCCGAAAGGAACGCUAAUACCGCAUGUGCUCUCGAUUUUUAGAAAGUUGAGAGUAAAGGAUUUAUUCGCUUCGAGAGGAGCCUGCGUCCCAUCAGCUGGUUGGUAGGGUAACGGCCUACCAAGGCUAUGACGGGUAGGGGACCUGAGAGGGUGGCCCCCCACAAUGGAACUGAAACACGGUCCAUACACCUACGGGUGGCAGCAGUAGGGAAUAUUAGAAAUGGACGAAAGUCUGAUCUAGCAACACCGCGUGUGCGAAGAAGGCCUUCGGGUCGUAAAGCACUUUUUGGAAGGAAUAGGAAGGAAUGUACUUCCAGAAUAAGUCUCGGCUAACUACGUGCCAGCAGCCGCGGUAACACGUAGGAGGCGAACGUUAUCCGGAUUUACUGGGCGUAAAGCGCGUGUAGGUGGUACUGUAAGUAGGGCGUGAAAGCUCCCGGCUCAACUGGGAGAGGCCGUUCUAAACUACAGAACUAGAGGAUGGUAGAGGGAGGUGGAAUUCCAGGUGUAGCGGUGGAAUGCGCAGAUAUCUGGAGGAACACCGGUGGCGAAGGCGGCCUCCUGGACCAUUCCUGACACUCAGACGCGAAAGCUAGGGUAGCAAACGGGAUUAGAGACCCCGGUAGUCCUAGCCCUAAACGAUGUAGACUAGGCGUCGGAAGUUUAAUCACUUUCGGUGUCCAAGCUAACGCGAUAAGUCUACCGCCUGGGGACUACGGCCGCAAGGUUAAAACUCAAGGAAUUGACGG